rnacentral:piRNA from 1 species
UAUUAGUAUCCCAAGAGGAAACGGAGAUG